UACGGAGGGUGCAAGCGUUAUCCGGAUUUACUGGGUUUAAAGGGUGUGUAGGCGGACUUUUAAGUCAGCGGUGAAAUCUCCGGGCUCAACCCGGAAACUGCCAUUGAUACUAUUAGUCUUGAAUGUUGUUGAGGUGGGCGGAACGGGUCAUGUAGCGGUGAAAUGCAUAGAUAUGACCCGGAACACCGAUUGCGAAGGCAGCCCACUAAGCAACGAUUGACGCUGAGGCACGAAAGCGUGGGGAUCAAACAGG
rnacentral:rRNA from 1 species